AUGGCAUAUGGAGUUCCAGAGCCAGGGAUCAGAUCCUAGCUGUAGCUGCCACCUAAGCCAAAGCUGCAGCAUUGCCGGUUCCUCAACCCACUGUGCCAGGCCAUGGAUGGAAUCUGCAUCCUAGCAUUCCCAAGAAGCCACUGAUCCCAUUGCGCCACUGAGGGAACUCCCACAGAGUGCUCUUCUGAGGAUUAAAUGUUAGGUCCAGGCAAGGUCUGGCCGAUGGGAAUGGUGGUUAGGCACCAAUAUGAAUCCAGGAAGAUUCCAGGGGCCAUGAGGCUGGGAGAAAAGGGGCAGGCUAGAGGGCAGGGUAUCUGUCGGGGGCCAUGCUUCAGUUUCAAUAUUUCCUCCUUCAGAGGCCGUGACAGGGGAUUCCAACAAAGGUCUGCAGUUGUAGACUUGAGAUAAUAAAGCACAGUUUGUUCAAAGUUACUUAGGUAUUGUAAGUCCUCCACUUAAGCCAGGCUAUUAUCUGGCCAUUUACUACAAUUCAUUUACUGUAAUUUACUUUAAUUCCUGCCUUUCUCUCUCUAUCCCAAUAUUUAGUAGAAGAUUUUUCAUGGGUACAACCCUUCCUCUGUCACCCAUGGUCUGCACGGUGAAAGUGGGCAGUACACUAAAUGCCACAGCACCUCUGGUGGCAUGUGCUAGUGUGGACAGCUUGAGCUCCAACCAGAGGGAGCAGCUUUGAAAUGGAAAUGUACUGUCAUCUACAAUGAACGGUGUGCCACACCCUGUGCCAGCCACAGCCCAAAGGCAGGGCACACAGUGUACACAGGUUGGCAGCCAAGAAUGGGUGCUCGCCAAGUUGAGUCAGGAGGUGCUCUGCCCGGGAGCUUCUGCCGUUUCUGGAGCCCUGGUGGAGCCCGAGGUUUUCAACAAGAAUCUUGCAAUCAUUGAGGGGGCGCUGUCAAAUUCAGGCUAGAAGACUCUGACUCGAUGACCAGGGAUCUGAUUCUCCACAGAGGCUCUGGACAAGCUACCUGGCUUCCAUGUCUCCAUCAACUAGUUCAUCCAGAAACCUUGCUGGGGUUCAAGGGUGUAGAAGGGCAAACCUCAUGGAGCUCCCAUGGGAUUCAUUCAACUCCUUGCACCCAGGGCUGCUGGCUAGAUUUACAUGGGUUAUUCAUCUAUCCACACUGAAUGUGGGGUAGCAUUGGCUGGCGAUAUAAUUGCAUUGCACUGCCACCCUCUUUUCCAUGGCUCCCUAUGCCUCUUGGGAUCCUGGCUCCAUCUCCUGUGUUUUUCCCUCUCCCUUUCUGUGUUCCCAUUCUUCAAAUGGGACUAUGCUCUCUCCCAUCACAGGGCCUUUGCACAUGCUAUUCCCUUUGCGUGAUUGUUCUCUGUGAUGAAUAGACUUUAAGGUGACCCCCAUAAUCCCUAACACCUGGUGUUCACAUCUUUGAGUGUGAGUGGGAACUGUGACUUGGCUUCUAAACAAUAGAAUAUGGCAAAGGUAACAGAAUGUCACUUUUGUGGUUAUGUUUAGUUGCAUAAGACUCCAUCUCGCUUGAGCCGCUCUCUCUCUGUUGUUGGCUUUGAAGAGGCAAGCAGCUGUGAGUCCUACAGCCAUUAGGAAAUGAAUUCUGUCAACAACCUGAGGGAGCCUGGAAGGGACCCUUCCCCAGUCAAGCCUCCAUGUGAGAACACAGCCUUGAUUGCAGCCUUGCAGAGGACCGAGCUAAGCCAUGCUGGGACUCCUGACCCACAGAAGCUAUGAGAUAGAAAAAGUAUUAUUUUAAGUCACCAAGUUGGUUGUUUAAAAAGAAAUAAGCUGUGUAAAUGUGUUUCUGUUUUCUACAUGCAGCAUGGAAAGUCCAUAUAUUCUCUAACAUUCACCUAAUUUACUCCUACGCAUCCCUGGUCAUUCCUAUCCCACUGAGAUCUUUUCUCAUCAGCCAAGUUGCCAAGGCCUGGUAUUCUCAUUAGAGGCUCUCAGGCCUCAUCUCCACACGACUUGUAAGUUUAACUGUGUGAUUAUUUACUCUUUAUUUUAUUGUACUUGUCUCUUUAGGGCUGCACCCACAGCACAUGGAGGUUCCCAAGCUAGGGGUCGAAUUUGAGAGGUAGCUGCCGGCCUACGCCACAGCCACAGCAACUCAGGAUCCGAGCUGAGUCUGUAACCUAUACCACAGUUCAUGGCAACGCCAGAUCCUUAGCCCACUGAGUGAGGCCAGGGAUGGAACCUGCAUCCUCAUGGAUGCUAGUCAGAUUUGUUUCUUCUGAGUCAUGAUGGGAACUCCUUAAUUGUAUGAUUAUUUAACUAAGAGCUGCCCCCUUCCUCUAACUGUAAGUGCCAUGAAAGCAGCCUGUCAUGGUCUCUGCAUUUCCCCAGGGACUAGUACAGUGCCUGGCAUAUGUAGGUGCCUGGUAAAUACCUGUUGAAUAAAUAAAUGAUUUGUAGGACAUUCAGGAGUGUCCAAAAAAAAAAAAAAAAAAAAGGAGUGAAGGGAUAGGUAAGGGCCAGACUGUUCAGUGGUUAGAAGCUAAAUUGAUUUGGAGGGAAUAUAGAAUUGUAGCCCUAAAAAAAAAUCACUUUCAUUAUGAACAACAGAAUAACAGAAGCUAAAAGUGUUUUGGGGAGCAUCCUUGACGGGCAUCCUAUGUGUCCAUUCAAUGGUCACACUGAGCCACCUCAUGGCUUGGCAUGAGGGUGUUUCUCUUGGAAGCUCUAGGAUUCUUCCUCUUUCUAGAAUGGCUUGUAUUGUGACUACCAGACAAUACUCUUAACAAUGUCCUUCUGAGGAAGGAGUUUCCACCAUCAUGGUAAGAGGAGGGAAAAUGCAGGGGGAGAAGGGAGGAGUAUGGGGGAGCCCCAGCUUGGCAGUUUCAGUGAGGUCCACAAAAUGCCACACAGCUUGCUCCGGAAACAGGUAGGAAGAUGAGUACAUGGGGUGCUAGGUACUGAACUGUAUCCUCUCCAAAUUCCUAUGCUGACGCCCUAACCCGUGUGUGACUGCAUGUGGAGAUGGGCCUAUAAGGGGCAGUGAAGGUGUAAAGAGGGCACAAGGGUGGGGCCCUAAUCCCACAGGGCUGGUGCCUUUCUAAGAAGAGAAGGAGAUGCCAGUGUUCUCUCUCCACCACGUGAGGCUAUAGUGAGAAGCUGGGCACAAAAAUAUCAGCUAUAGACUACAUUUCCCAGCCUCCCUUGCAGUUAGGUGUGGUCACAUGACCAGGUCUGGGCCUUGGGAUGUAAAAGGGAGGGCUGAGAGGAACAUGUGGCUGUUCUUAAAGGCAAAGUGGCUUGUUCUAGACCUUUUCUUUUCCUCUUCCUACCAGCUCAGAAACAGUGUGACUACAACAGCGGCCUUGGACUCAGAGAUGGAAGGAACAUAUUGAAGAUGACAGAGUAACUGGCCAUCUUGCUUUUAGAUGAUCUUUUGGACCAGAGUUUCCCUAGAUUACCUGUUUCAUAGGAGAGAAACUAUUUUAUAAGCUGAAAGAUUUGGAGGUCUUUUUUUUUUUUUUUUUUUUUUUGGUCUUUUUAGGGCUGUACAUACAGCAUAUGAAAGUUCCCAGGCUAGGGGUCAAAUUGGAGCUGCAGCCACUGGCCUACACCACAGCCACAGCAACACAGCAUCUGAGCUGCGUCUGCAACCUACACCACAGCUCAGGGCAACGCCAGAUCCUUAACCCACUGAGCGAGGCCAGAUAUUGAAGCUGCAUCCUCAUGGAUAUGAGUCAGAUUCUUAACCUGCUAAGCCAUGGUGGGAUCUCCUUGGAGGUCUUUUUUUUAAUAGCCUUGAUGCACCCUAGUUAAUAUACUCCCUGAGAAUAAAGUAGGAGUAUUUCUUGUGUAUUUUCAGAUAUACUUGUCCUUCAACCCUGUUAGGGGGGAUACUCUCCACUCUGAUUUUUCUUACAUAUACUUUUUUGUUGUUGUUGUUGUUUUUUGCCUUUUCUAGGGCCAUUCCCCUGGCACAUGGAGGUUCCUAGGCUGGGGUCUAAUCCAAGCUGUAGCUGCUGGCCUAGGCCACAGCCACAGCAAUGCCAGAUCCAAGCCGCAUCUGUGACCUACACCACAGCUCACGGCAAUGCUGGAUCCUUAACCCACUGAGUUGAGGCCAGGGAUCGAACCUGCCACCUCAUAGUUCCUAGUCGGAUUCUUAACCACUGAGCCACGAUGGAAACUCCUGAUUUUUCUUACAUAUACUUUGUUUUCAAGUCACAGAGCAGUCUUCUUGCUGGUCUUCAGUUUUUUCAGGCUUUGUAGGUGUAGGAUUGGCAUCAGAGAGUGAGUGUGAAACCAAGCCCCCCUAAAACCAAGUUCCCUUAUCUGAAUUUAUGAUCAGUUUCUCUAUCCAAAACUUCAUUCCCUUGCUGUCACCUCUGACCUCAAUCCUGUGCUAAACAGCCAUCAACUGGUCAGAUGACUAAGACUGCUGCUGUUGAUAACACUGUGAAUGUGCUAAAAUUGCUAUCAUAGAAACUGUCAUUAACUUACAAACUCGGUUGUUUCUCCAGGGCAAGAUGAGCUUACAGAACCCCAGCCAUGGACCACCCAGCCAGAGAAUCAUAAACCAGAGACAUCCUGACUCCCCAAGCUAUAGUCACAGAAAUGUCACAUGAUGAUGAUUAAUCCCAGAGUCUUUGUUCUUUCCCUUUAUAAAAACUGAUCAUGGAGUUCCUAUCGUGGCUCAGUGGUUAACGAAUCCGGCUAGGAACCAUGAGGUUGCGGGUUCAAUCCCUGGCCUCACUUAGUGGGUUAAGGAUCCGGCAUUGCCGUGAGCUGGGGUGUAGGUCGCCGGCGCGGCUUGGAUCCUGCGUUGCUGUGGCUCUGGUGUAGGCUGGCGGCUACAGCUCCAAUUCGAUCCCUAGCCUGGGAACCUCCAUAUGCCAUGGGAGCAGCCCUAGAAAAAGGAAAAAAGACAAAAUAAAUAAAUAAAUAAAUAAAAAUUAAAACAAAUCAAAGACUAAAUGGAAGAGUUCCUCUUGUAGCUCAGUGGGUUAAGGACCUGACGAAGUCUCUGCGAAGAUGCAGGUUCUAUCCCUGGCCUCACUCAGUGGGUUAAGUCUCCAGCCUUGUGGUGAGCUGUGGGGUAGUUCACAGAUGCAGCUCAGAUGUUGUGCCGCUGUGACCGUGGUGUACGCCUCAGCUGCAGCUCUAAUUCAACUCCUGGCCUGGGAACUUCCAUGUGUCGCAGGUAUGGCCGUAAAAAGAAAACAAAACAAAACAACUAAAUGGAGUGGAUCUGGAACUUGUCUCCCACUCCCUUGCUUGGUGCCCUGCAAAUAAACCCUUAUUUUACCACAAACACCCACUGUCAAACAUUUGGCUUUCUGUGGUCCCUUAGCUCUGUUACAAAUGCCUUCUUAAAUUUUGUACCUUGGGAGCCUCUGGUACUCUCCCUAGUUUCAACUCUGGCAGAAGUGAUAGCAUUUUCAUUAAAAAAACAAACAAAAAACGUUAAAUAUAUGCUUGCUUUUUGUCCUAAUUGCUAGGAAUUCAAUGCUAGGAAUUCUUAUUAUGGAAAUAAAUAAACAGGUUUCUAAACCACAUGUACAAAAUGAUCACUUUCUUGAAAAAGUUCCUAUGUAAAUAUAAGACUGGAAGGAUAUGCAUCUAAAUGAUGACAGAAGUUACAUUUGGGAGAUAAGGUUAUAGGUAGUUUUUUUUGCUGUUUUUUUUUUUUCUUCUAUUUUUUUCUUUUCUGAUCAUGGCCAUGCCCAUGCCAUAUGGAAAUUGCUGGGCCAGGUAUUGGACCCCUGCCACAGCAGUGACAAUGCUGGAUCCUUAACUGCUAGGUCACCAGGAAACUAUAAUAGGUGCUUUUUUUCCCCAUAAUUUAUUUUGUUUUGCAAAUUUUCUGUACUCUGCCAGUAAUAUUUUUACAGUUGAGAAAAAAAAAAAAACCCCACUAUUUACAAUGUUUUUAACUCCCUCUUUUCCAAAAGUGACCCACUGUGCCUGGGUGAAGCACCUUCCUGUCCUCCUCCCUUCGGGGGAACAGUUUCCCAUGAGGCUUUCUAAGCCCUUCUGCAAAGAGCACCACAGUCUCAUACUACAAACCUCUCAGACAGACAGUCCCAAGAGUCCUAGGGCUGGGACAAGCCUGUUGGUGGUGCUGUCUUCUCUGAGGUCACUAUGGGAGGGAAGCUGAUGGCUUAAAGGCCCUUUGUAGUGCUGCAAAGAACUGCCCCCACCCCAAAUCUCUACUUCCUCUCCUGACUUAUUCCCAGGUUAGCUCAGGGACCUGAGACCUUGUGGAUGGAGUCUGAUGGAUGGGAUUUUAACACUGACUCUGCCAGGUACAAGCCAUGUGACUCUGGGCGUGUCAUCCAGUCUCUGUGCUCAAUGAUGCCAUCCCCAAAAUGGAGCUAACACUAGUAGCUACCACUCAGGGUGGUCUUCUGGAGCCAGGAAGAAAAUGCAUGUGAAGUGGGGAUCUUAGCUUGGCAUUAGGUGACUCAACAAGAGGUAGGUGCUGACAUUGUUACUGACACCCUGGUGGGUGGGUGUGUCUCCCUCAUCAGAAACAUAAUAUUGGAUCUGCUAAACUUUUGAUCAGCCUCCUUCCUCUGCAGGCCUGGCUCAUGGCACCACCCAGUAAAGGCUCAAGCCAGAAGCCAGGAUAUCAUCCUUAAGACCUCUCUUUCAGUCUCCAGAUACAAUUCACCUCCAAGUCCUGAUGGUUCUGCCUUUUUUUUUCUUUUAGGGCCACACCCGAGGCAUAUGGGGGUUCCCAGGCUAGGGGAUGAAUUGGAGCCGUAGCCACCUGCCUACGCCACAGCCACAGUCAUGCCAGGUCCGAGCUGCACCUACGACCCACACCACAGCUCAUGGCAACGCUGGAUACUUAACCCAGUGAGUGAGGCCAGGGAUUAAACCUGCAUCCUCACAGAUCCUAGUCAGAUUCAUUUCCUCUGCACCACGACGGGAACUCCAGGUUCUGCCUUCUAAUUAUCUUACAUCCUGCAGUCUCCCAUUGCCAUGAUCUCUCCCCUGGAAGACGGAGUGAGCCUUCUAAUUGUUCUUCCCAUGCCCACUCUUGGUCCCUUCCAAUCCUCUACAUUGCAGCCAGAGGAAUCUUAAAGUACAAAUCAGAUCUUGUCAUGUCACUCUCCUAUUCAAAACCCUUUUUUUUUUUUGGUCUUUUUGCCAUUUCUUGGGCCGCUCCCACGGCAUAUGGAGGUUCCCAGGUUAGGGGUCUAAUCAGAGCUGUGGCCACCAGCCUACGCCAGAGCCACAGCAACGCGGGAUCCGAGCUGCGUCUGUGACCUACACCACAGCUCUCAGCAACGCCGGAUCUUUAACCCACUGAGCAAGGGCAGGGAUCGAACCCGCAACCUCAUGGUUCCUAGUCGGAUUCGUCAACCACUUCGCCACCACGGGAACUCCCUCAAAACCCUUUUUGAGGAAUUCCUGUGGUGGCUCAGUGGGUUAAAAACCCAACUAGUAUCCAGGAGGAUGCAGGUUCAAUCCCUGGCCUCAAUCAAUGGGUUAAGGAUCCAGUGUUGCCACAAGCUGCAGCAUAGGUCGUAGAUGUGGCUUGGAUCUGGUGUUGCUGUGGCUGUGGUGUAGACUGGCAGCUGCAGCUCUGAUUCGACCCCUUAGUCUGGGAACUUCCACAUGCUGCACCUAUGGCCCUAAAAAGAAAAAAAAAGCCAAAAAACAAAACAAAACAAAAAAAAAACCCAAAACCCCAAAAAAACCCUUUAUGACUUCCAAUUGCAUUUAAGCUUGGAAUAAAUUUACCAAGACCAGCACGGUUUGAUUCCCUGCUCACUCUACCACUCUCAUCCUAUGCCUUCUCUCCCAAUGCAGGCCAACCUCAUAGACCCUAUGUUGGUUCCCUGAAAAUAUAAGCUCUUUGCUCCUUCAGAGGCUUGGCACAUGCUGUGUUCUCUGCCUGGGACACCCUUCUCCUUGUCUUAUCCCUGUCUUUCUCACCUGUACUCAUUCUUCAAGCCCCAGCCUAAACAUGAUUUCCACAAAAAGGCCCCUCCUAACACCCAGCCUAAAUCAAGCCCUCCUGUUACUCCCUUUCCCUGUACUUUCCUUAACAAGCUAUCAUGAUCAAGAUGGAUUUGUAGGAGUUUCCCAGUGGCUCAGUGGGUUAAGGAUCUGGUGUUGUCACUGCAGUGGCUUGGGUUGCUGUUGUGCUGCAAAUUCAGUCCCUAGCCCAGAACUUCUACAUGUCUCAGGUGCAGCCAAAAAGAGAGAGAGAGAGAGAUGGAUUUGUAUAUUCUUUGGCUGUAUUUAUAUAUAUGUAAAUCACUUUGCUAUAUACCUGAAACUAACACAACAUUGUAAAUCAACUCUACUUCAAUAGAAAAAAAUGCUGGAAGAACUGAGAUAUCAUGUAGUAUAGUAGUUUGCAAGUACUUUUGAUAUUGAUCUAUAGCUAAAAAAUCCAACACUGAUAUCAUGACCCAGUACAUUCAUAUAUUUGUAUAAAACUGAAACAAAAGUUUUGUUAAAUACUACCCUUAUUCACACGUGUGAAUCUC
rnacentral:lncRNA from 1 species